CCUUACAGCCACUCAAAUAUGCCGGUAAACAAAGAUAUAGCAAAAAACACUGCCAUUGUGGGGCCUUGCAGAUAUCCAUCAGACUACAAGUUUGGGCUCAUUUCUUUCGACUUUGUGCUCUGAAAAGUGCGAGACCGUGUGGUAGUUGGGGGUGGGGGGGCGGUGGUGAGGGGAAGAAAAAAAAGUUCCCAAGUUGGUGCGUCUGCACACAAAGUUGAGCACAAAGAAGAGAGGAGCACUCCUUUGUUCACCGGGGAGCCUCGGGGUACAGCGGACGGACAGCAACCCCGCUCCUGUCCGGCAUCAUGCAAGCGUGCGGAGCGUCUGGAUGGUCAACUUCGUACGACGGAGGAAAAACAAGUUUCUUGGACUCAGCACACGUUGUUUGGAAAGCAUGGCUUUGGGAGUUUGGGAACUUCCUCACAAUUUUGGAAUUACAAAAUUGAAAAAGAAGAAAGAAUGAACUGUGGAUUAUUAUUUUUUUGGUAAAUAACUUUAUGGCACUCCCAUAAGACGGAUAAUUGAGGUCACCACACACCCAGUACGACAGGUGACCUGUGGCUGUCACCGGGAAAGAGGUCCGUGUCGUCCCUGCGAAGAGGCUUAUAUGUGAAGACCCGCUUUGUGGCAGCAAUUGCAAGCGUCAACCAUCUGGGUCACUUAGGGUGUGCAGGUGCCGACUUGCAUAAAUAAAGUCGUGUUAAUAUUAAUAAUAACCGAUAGACAUUGUUAGAAGAUCAAAGUCCUCCAGAUAUGAUAGUUCCACUUGGAAACUCCCCACAACGGUUGCCCUUGGAGAUAGGGGUCACAUUUCUACAUGUCCUGUCCCUUAAUGGUGGCCCCUGGGAACCCUCUUUUCAGCCAGGUGACGUAAUGCAUUUUUACAGACAUCCUGUGAUGCCUUUUGCCUUAUUCACGUACUGUGGCACCAACGGGCAAAGCUUGAACCACAAGCUGCUUGCCGUUUGGGUAUCUCUCAGACAUACGCUCGGAGAGGCCCCCUGUUGGAUACAAACAGUCCCUACACUAAAUAUGAAAAAGGCACAUUCCUUAUAUAGGGGACGCUGAAGGGACAUGUUCAGCUAGCUAUGAUCUUCUGGCUCUGCUACCUAAUGGCAGUGGGGGACUGAAAUGACUUUUUGGGUCAGGCCCUUGAAAAAACAAGCCCACCCCUGACUGCAGAUUACAGAUGUGGGCUGAGACCCACUAACAUCCAGACCCCCCCUGCCAUUUUUUCCCAGUGGGCUUUGAUAAAAAUUUUACUUUUAUGUUUGUGGCUCCAUUAAUUAUCUUUAUUGGCUUGGCUAUAGCAUAUCACACCAUGGGACAUAUGUUAAUCUCAUAUGCCUGACAGAUGACUGUUAAUUUGAUGACCGUAUGACACAAGGCACUGGUUUAAAGUCACGUGUGCCGUUAAUUUCCGUUUCCUGGAAGAGUAUCGGUAACUCACACAGCAGCCUGUUACACAGAUGCCUCAGGCAGUGACCUCUUUUUAUUUUUAAAUAUGAAACUAAUCGAAAAACGGUCACCCUGAUUAUUAUUAAUAUUUCAUGGGUCUGGAGCCAUUGAAAUUAUUUCCCUGUUUUUAGUAACCAAUUGGGACUGCAGUGAUCCUCAGAGAUACAUCCUGGAUGGGACAGAAGGGCACACACACGUGCGUGCGUGCACACACACACACACACACACACACACAC